GACGAACGCUGGCGGCGUGCUUAACACAUGCAAGUCGAGCGGUAAGGCCCUUUCGGGGGUACACGAGCGGCGAACGGGUGAGUAACACGUGGGUGACCUGCCCUUAGCUCUGGGAUAAGCCUGGGAAACUGGGUCUAAUACCGGAUAUGACUCCAUGACGCAUGUUGUGGGGUGGAAAGCCUUGUGCGGCUAGGGAUGGGCCCGCGGCCUAUCAGCUUGUUGGUGGGGUGAUGGCCACCAAGGCGACGACGGGUAGCCGGCCUGAGAGGGCGACCGGCCACACUGGGACUGAGACACGGCCCAGACUCCUACGGGAGGCAGCAGUGGGGAAUCUUGCGCAAUGGGCGAAAGCCUGACGCAGCGACGCCGCGUGAGGGAUGACGGCCUGGUGUAA
rnacentral:rRNA from 1 species